UCCGUUGUGACCACUCCCUCCCGGCACCCCCCGAUGAUCCCGCACUCCAUGUGACCCCCUCCUCCUCCACCAGUUAAUUUGUAGCUCACCCGAGCGAUGCCUGCUCCAAAGAAGAAGAAAAUAGACAACAUUGUCACCGACACAUUCAUGUGGCGAUACGGACACACACGGGAUAGUUUCCAGGCGCCUCAUUCCUGUGGGCUCCAGGCCGCAGCAUUGUUAACCACUUUUUGCUUUGUUCAUUCACUCACUGGUCACUAAUUAAUCUGCACUCAGUCCAGUCCACCAACUACUUUAUUCACCCUAACCUAAAAUAUCAAUCUUUUGCGUUCAUGUUUUUUCACCUCAUAUUUUUUUCCUAAUUUCGACAACGGGUUCCAUGUCAUCUUUAUUUCAGCGAGCUGAGACCAACUAAAUGGUGACAGGGGUGCGAUAUAAAAAAUGGAUAUUUUACCACAUAAUCUCAGUUUCUCCGUGUGAAUAAUGUAUGGAUAUUUGAAAGGUGUCAUUACUUCUUUUACUUGCAUUACUUGGCAAUGCUGGCUUUACUUAGCAUACUCGUUUCCCUCUAAGGAACGGGCGGAUUGACAACCAUU